UACGUAGGGUGCAAGCGUUGUCCGGAAUUAUUGGGCGUAAAGAGCUCGUAAGGCGGUUUGUCGCGUCGGCUGUGAAAACUCGGGGCUCAACCCCGAGCCUGCAGUCGAUACGGGCAGACUAGAGUGCGGUAGGGGAGACUGGAAUUCCUGGUGUAGCGGUGAAAUGCGCAGAUAUCAGGAGGAACACCGGUGGCGAAGGCGGGUCUCUGGGCCGUAACUGACGCUGAGGAGCGAAAGCGUGGGGAGCAAACAGG
rnacentral:rRNA from 1 species